rnacentral:rRNA from 1 species
GUACACUCCUACGGGAGGCAGCAGUGGGGAAUAUUGGACAAUGGGGGCAACCCUGAUCCAGCCAUGCCGCGUGAGUGAUGAAGGCCCUAGGGUUGUAAAGCUCUUUUGUGCGGGAAGAUAAUGACGGUACCGCAAGAAUAAGCCCCGGCUAACUUCGUGCCAGCAGCCGCGGUAAUACGAAGGGGGCUAGCGUUGCUCGGAAUCACUGGGCGUAAAGGGUGCGUAGGCGGGUCUUUAAGUCAGGGGUGAAAUCCUGGAGCUCAACUCCAGAACUGCCUUUGAUACUGAGGAUCUUGAGUCCGGAAGAGGUGAGUGGAACUGCGAGUGUAGAGGUGAAAUUCGUAGAUAUUCGCAAGAACACCAGUGGCGAAGGCGGCUCACUGGUCCGGUACUGACGCUGAGGCACGAAAGCGUGGGGAGCAAACAGGAUUAGAAACCCUUGUAGUCCCAU